GCUGGAAACCUUAGGGAGGCUCAGGGAAGAAGUGGGACUUCAUAGGUCUUCAGAAUCAUGCUGAGAAAUAUUGGAAUGCAGUCCUCCAAACACCCCCAGGAACCUUUUUCCUACUUGCGUUUCCUUUGAAUCAUUGCUACUGAAUGUGACUGAUGCUCUGAAAGUACGUUACAAAGAGACCUGGAAAGAAGGCUGACUGACUGAGUAUAUGUACAAGAUUCAUAUGCCCAAGGCCUAUAAGCACGCUCUUAAUAGAAAUGUACUACAGAACCUGCACUGAUGUAUUAACUUUGCUACUACUGAAUUACAAGCAGCAGCCACAGGAAGGAGGAUGCAUGGAUGCUACCACAUUUCCAUCCCAGGCUUACAAGAGAGAAAUAAAUGAGGGAAGAUUUGGAGAGCUGAUCCAGAUCUUCAGUCUCAAGACCAACCCUGGAUCAUGAGGAAUAUCACCAGAUGUCCCUAUCUGGAACCAUCCGUAUUUGAUUGCGAGGAUGAAAUCUUGGAACCAUUUAUUAAUUUCACUGGACUGAGAAUUCUGCAUGCAUUCUCAGAAUUCC
ensembl:lncRNA